AUGAUGGCGACCGGCGCACGGGUGAGUAACGCGUAUCCAACCUACCCAUUACUAGGGAAUAACCCAGCGAAAGUUGGCCUAAUGCCCUAUGUAGUCGUUUGAUCGCCUGAGAUUUCGACGAAAGAUUUAUCGGUAUUGGAUGGGGAUGCGUCUGAUUAGCUUGUUGGCGGGGUAAAGGCCCACCAAGGCAACGAUCAGUAGGGGUUCUGAGAGGAAGGUCCCCCACAUUGGAACUGAGACACGGUCCAAACUCCUACGGGAGGCAGCAGUGAGGAAUAUUGGUCAAUGGGCGAGAGCCUGAACCAGCCAAGUAGCGUGCAGGAUGACGGCCCUAUGGGUUGUAAACUGCUUUUAUAUGGGAAUAAAGUGAGGGACGUGUCCCUUAUUGCAUGUACCAUACGAAUAAGGACCGGCUAAUUCCGUGCCAGCAGCCGCGGUAAUACGGAAGGUCCAGGCGUUAUCCGGAUUUAUUGGGUUUAAAGGGAGCGUAGGCUGUUUGUUAAGCGUGUUGUGAAAUGUAGGAGCUCAACUUUUAGAUUGCAGCGCGAACUGGCAGACUUGAGUGCGCACAACGUAGGCGGAAUUCAUGGUGUA
rnacentral:rRNA from 1 species